AGCGUAUAUUAAAGUUGUUGCAGUUAAAAAGCUCGUAGUUGAAUUUCGGGAUUAAUAUGUUGGUCGUGCCUUGGUACGUACUGGUAUUAUUGAUUCCUACCUUCUGAAGAACCUCGAUGUCAUUAAUUUGGUGUCUUGGGGAAUCAGGACCGUUACUUUGAAAAAAUUAGAGUGUUUAAAGCAGGCUCGCGCUUGAAUACAUUAGCAUGGAAUAAUGAAAUAGGACGUUUGAUUCUAUUUUGUUGGUUUCUAGGAUCGACGUAAUGAUUAAUAGGGAUAGUUGGGGGCAUUAGUAUUCAAUUGUCAGAGGUGAAAUUCUUGGAUUUAUUGAAGACUGACUACUGCGAAAGCAUUUGCCAAGGAUGUUUUCAUUAAUCAAGAACGAAAGUUAGGGGAUCGAAGACGAUCAGAUACCGUCGUAGUCUUAACCAUAAACUAUGCCGACUAGGGAUCGGAUGAUGUUAAUUUUUUAAUGACUCAUUC
rnacentral:rRNA from 1 species